CAACUAAACCAACUCUACCCCAUUUCUGCUUCGUGUGCCUCUCCCAAAGGUACUCACACAUCUCUCCCUCAAGGAAUGGCAAACACUGGCCAUUUGACAAAGUGAAGAUUGAGGGAGCCUCUCAAGUAUGCAUUCCAACACUAACAUCUCUCGAGUGUCCUCAACAUUUUCAAACUUUGAAGUAAGAGUCUUCUUUGCAAGAGACAUUUUUGUAGGGAUUUGAUAAAGAAAACUAAGCCAAAGGCAGUUCCUAAAGGAUUUCACACACAAAAGCUCUUUGUAAAACAAAAGAGAGAUCAACCUCAUCCCACUAGUCCAUGAUUGAUGGGAGUGGUUUGAGAAAGAGUAGAGGCUUUGAAAAAAGAAAGAAAGGGACACAUGUUAUGAAGUAAAGUAGCAUUACAAGGCAAGAUAUGUUAUAGAGUCUUAAAACCAAUUGUGGAACUCACUGUUGAGGAAAGAAACAAGGAACCUUCAAAGUUCAAACACCUUUUAAAGAAACAAAGUUGUAAGGGGUGCUGGAUAAAGAAACAAAGUUCGGGAUCCUGCUGAUGGAGCUUAAACAUCACCUCCCUUGUGCCACUUCUGCUUCAGAGUGUUGCCCCAUCUCCUUGGUGUUACUAGUAUCCAAGUCAUAGAAGAGCCUAGACUGAAGAAGAAGAAGAAGAAGAAGCCUUUGCUUCUCCAUUGAUAACUCCUUUGUGCUCCGAUGAAAGUGAAUGAUGCCUCUCUGGUAGCCUCAGAAGCAUUAUUUCGGUUGAGUUUUUGAGAAAGUAGUUGGAGCUAUUCAAGUCUGUGAUGGUCUCCCACGUGAUUUUGCUUUCCAAUUUAUUGGGACCACACCCUCUAUUUCAUAGGUGUUUUCUAGAGGUGUGUCGGUAAGCUAGUAUUUUGUUUUGUUAGCCUUCGGCUUUUGUUCUCAGCUUGGCCUUUGGGCCUUUUCUCUCAAUACAAUCAAUCUUUGACCAAAAAACAAAACAAAACUUGCAACAGUUUAAUACCCUAUUUCUCACUAUUAGCUUCAAAUGAACUCAACAGUGGAGUCAAUUAGGUUUUAUGACACCUGUCAAUGGAAUUGACAAAGAAAAAAAAUGAAGGUUAUGAAACUUGUCAUGUGGCAUCCAGAUUCUCAUUUAUUCCUUUGUGGCAGGAAAACAUAAGGUAAGUAUCUUGGCCAGCUUGAGCAGAAACACAUACAAUUAUCAGAAUGUCCUACUCUUGCUGCCUCACUAGCAUUAGUAGAGGUUGGGUUAACUAUCGUCAUAUGAUCAACAAAAGAAGGAAGAAUGGGAUUUCAGCAAAAGCUCUUUCAGGCAAGUUUAGUUCUAACCAUGUUUCUCAUUGUUAGUGCAUCACAACAGCACAAGAAAGCUAAAGGCCUUCACUAACAAAAUAAAGACCACCACACUAAGAUAAAUCCUAGGCUUCACUUUGAAAUCACAUUACACGGGUUUCUUCUGUGGGCUUCACUGGCGUUCUUGAUGCGUGUUGGUGUACUAGUAAUUAGAUUGUCCAGCGGCGAUGGGAAUCGAAGAAGGCUUAGAAUUAUAUUCUAUGCUCAUGCAGUUUUGCAGGAAAGUACAUCUGAACCCCUGUUGCAUCAUAGUUUUAGUGAGAUAACUGAUACUUUUUGCAAAUUUAAUUAGUUUGUAUUCCUUUACUUGACAACAAAUCUAAGUGCGUUUUUGGAUCCACGUUCUCAGAAUUGAUUUUAGAUAAAAUUCAUUUUGGAAAAGUUGAUUAUAGGGAAAGUGAGUCAAAAGUCAAUUGAUUUAUGUUUGGAUACGUUUAUGGUAAACGUGAUUUCUAUAAGGUAGUGUUGCGCAAUGCAAUUAUGAAACCCACAAUUGAUUACGUCUACUGCAAAAGCUAGUAUCUGUAGCUUCUCCACAUAAUUGAUUUUGGGACUAAAAUCAACUCUCUAAGUCAAUUGUAAAACUUCUAUAUGACCACCUAACACUGAUUCUGGUUAAUGAGCAUUCAUUCUAAGUCUCCAAAGUCCCAAACACACAGAGAGUAAAAGAACAACUAUUUUUAUUUUUUAUGGUUCAAAAUGAGUUUAAUAGGGUCAGUUGUCCCACUUAUCCACUUUUUGAUGAAGGUUAACUUGAGAAAGUAGCAUGAUUACAGUUUUCCUGUUAUUUUAUUUGUCCAAAUGCUUGUUAGUUACUGUUUAAGGUUAGGAAAAGACCAUUGCUUCUUUGUUUAUUGAUUAGAAGUUUAGGACUAAGAUGAAUACUUUGAAGACAAGAAAGGAGCUUUAAGAAAUAACCUUUGUUAUUAGGAGUUCCUAGCUUUCUGUAUCUCAUUUUUUAAUAGAGCAUGUGAAAAGUACAGCACCAUUAUGCUGCUAGCUGUAGCCUUAAACAAAUCUUUAGCUCAAAUUAAGUGGAGGGAAAAAUCAACAUCAACUUCAUCACUAGCAAAUAUUACAAGUUUUUAUGAAAGUAUUGCAUUGGUGAUCCAUGUUUUUUUAAUUGACAUGUACUUAUGUGUUUCUGUUCAACAGAAGCUUGCUGUACUUCUUGCCACAGCUGGAGCAAUCAUGUCCAUAAAAAAUUUCAACCUCUCUUUCAACAAUAAUCAUCAAAGAUUAGGGGUUGCAUUAUAUGGCUUCAAGUUCUAGUUGGUAUUUUUCGACCACAAAGGGGAUCCAAAAGGAGAAGACUGUGGUUUUUUGCACACUGGAUAACUGGAACUGCAGUGUCAAUAAUGAGUGUCCUGAACGUGUAUAGUGGUUUACAAGCCUACCAUGAAAAAACAUCAAAGAGCAUAAGAACUUGGAAAAUACUUUUCACUUUUCAAAUACCUUCUUCAAGAAAAAUGGGUCUACAAACAAAAUCAAGGAGUGACUUUGGGAAAUAAAUUACUUCCUUCCACUUGUGAAGAAAUUUCUUCAGAUGACAAGGAGAAGGCACUGAAGAAUGAAAGCUGAAUCUUAUUAAUGAAGAAGAAUCAAUGCCAGCCCAUUAUUGACCCUCACUUCUACAGAGAAUAGGUGUUUGAUACACACAUGAGUACUGAUGGAUGUGAAUUUGUUCCUUAAGAUGAAAUAUGUGUCUGUGAAGUUUAUUUUUCGCAUUUUUUCAGAGAAGGUUUCACUCAUUGAAAGAUUGUAAUUUCUUUCCAUGAGAUAGUUUGUUGUGUUCUCCUAGCAGCAGCGAGUUCUGAACAUUGAAUAUGUUAAAGGCCCAAACAACAAUACAAAAUUCAAUUGAUUUUAAUAUUGACACUGCCACACUGGAAU